rnacentral:lncRNA from 1 species
CAUGAAUUCAUCUACGAGUCCAUGAAACCCAGAGCUGCUACCAGGACAGUUCUAGAACAGCCAGCAUCCUCAGCUUGCUCUUCAGUUCCUGCCUGUCUUGUCAUCACUGUCAGCAUCCAUUUGUCAAGCACCGAACAGUGUGAGCUGUUUUCCUUAGAGCUGGAGCACUGCUUGGCAGCCACUGGGCAAGCUGGUGGAGGAAGAGGAGAUACAAGGAUGAAUGAGAUGGAGACGCAGCCCACUGUCCAACCUACCCGGCGGCUUGUGUCCCAACAAGGGAAGAGACCUGCCCACAGACAGUGAGAAAUGGGAGAGCUGGGCGUCUGAGAGCAUCAGGCUUGUGCAAACAUCACUUCUGGAAUGUUCACAACACAGGCUCAGGGAAGUGAGAAGGUGACUCUGACUCGGGUCUCUGCAGUUAAAAGAAAUGGGCCCAGAGGAAAAGCGUCCUGCUCCAGGCAGGCAGAAAGCAGCCAGAGGGAGGUGAUGUGAGUUCCAAGAACAAACACUUGAGGAGCACCCGCGCGUGCCAAGUGCUGUCACAGACACACAAGCAAACCUGUCUUUGCUCUGUGGAGCAUCUGCCUCCUGCGUCCUGUGCUCAAUUCCUUAUUCCUUGAAUGCAAAAGCCAUGGAGGCAGAGGAAGCUGGUUCUUAGACAGCCAGUGGGAAGAAGUCCUCCUUGGUAGCUCAUCUUCAUCUUGCACUCACCCUCUUUACAUCAUGCUCUGAGCCUUGGCACAGUCAAGUCCUCUGCAACCAGCCCAGUUGGCAGAGGCCCUGCUUAUCCUUCUGACCUUACCCUGAAGACCCCCUGCUCUGUAAAACAAUGAGCAAUCCUCUGGACAGAGGAGCCUGCCAGGCUACAGUCCAUAGGGUCACAAAGAGUUGGUCAUGACUGAAGCAACUUAGCAUGCAUGCACACAACCAGCCCAGCUGGCAGGAGCCUUGGGAGUCACUGUUGUGUGGAACCUGUGAGCUUGGAGAAGGGCCUGGUCCUGGUACCUUCCUUUCUCCUUCAGAUCUGGUCCCGUGGAGGAACUGGUUUGCCUGUCUUCCCACAGCCUGGGGCGAGCUCCCUGGGCACACAUGCUCCGCCUUUGCUGGAGGCAGGAGGUGGCAGGAGGCCAACUCUCCAGGGAUGGGUUGGAUAGUGGUCAGAAGUAGUAAAAGACUGCACACCUAAGCCAAAAAUCCUCUAGUCUGGCUUUUCCCAAUAAUAAAGCUGACAUUUUCA